UUCUAUUUGACCAUUUAUCUCUGUUAUAUCUAAAAUCUUUAACGGCAAGACUGCAUGUUUAUUUUUUAAUCUCUCAUGAUAAAGGCAAACUAUUUGGAAACACAAUCAACUCUUAUGUUAUUUCAUAUCAAUGUGGAUGUAAACGAAAAGUAAAGAGCUCAUACCCUUAUAUGUUUUUAUUUUAAAAGUAGAGCUGAAAUGUGAGCACAUUUGUAUAGGAACAGUACAAAAUUCUUAUGUAAAAAAAUAUAAAUGAUUUCUUUACAAAUUCUAUGUAAAUUGUUUUUUUAAGCAGUUCAGUCUUUCUAUUAUUCCGUUUUGCUUUCCGUUAUAUUUGAUGUAUUUCCCUUAAUUUCAGUCUAUGGCCUGGAUUUGUUUUAUUUUAACCGAUUUGUGAAUUUUGAACAGUGGUAUACUACUAUGGCCUUCAUUUGUUGUUAUUUUCAUUAUUGGUCGUCUGACAGUAUUGAGAUGCUUGACGUUUAGGUUGUCGGUUCUAUUGGUGAUUCUAAAGAUCGUUUUACAAUAUGACGGGUUAAAGACGACGAAAAUAGCAUCUAUUCGGUCUUAACUUUUGUUUAGUUCAUAUAAAUUAUUUUCAUUAUGUACUAAAAGUAAUAACAAUGGUCAGGUGAUGACCUGGACGGUUUUGUGUUAUACACACAGGGUCCAAGGGUAAUUUGUUGCCGCUACGAAUUCAAAUAUUUAGAUAUUGAGAAAUCGUUGUAGACCCGUUAUGCGGAGUGAAGUUGUGGUUAAUAAAUAUUUUUUGAAUUUAUUGUUUUUGAUAAUAAAUGACCAGCCGAAUGAGAUUAUCUGCAAGAAUAACAUAUUUCUAACCUUUUUUAAAUUUUACAUCGUAGUGUUCGUUCCGUAAUAGAGCCGAGAGUUUCAGAAUAAAUCUGUUCAUGAAUAACUACAUUUAAGGUUAAUGCCAUUUGCAUAUUUAAAAUAAGGCCAACAUAUAUUUGUUGUUUCAUUUUUUAAUUAAUAAAACAUCCGUGUCAUCGAGAUUGUUUGUAAGCAUCAAAAUGAGAUAAAUUCUCUCUUUCAUAUAUAAAGUGUAUAGAACAAAAAAUGAGAACUGAAAGAACACAUAAUUUUGAAGACAUGUUUAAGGAAAUAGUUCAUUUUAUCUUGUUUCAAAAUUUAAAGAAGAAAAAGAGAGUCGCCAAAACAGAUAGAUGACGGUUGCCAAACCUUUACUCAACAUACUACAACGGUUUAAGUAAGUGGGGUAUUUAUGAAAAAAGAAGUUGACGUCAAGGUUGAGUAAUUAUGUGGAACAGGAUCUGCGUAUCCGCCAUGAUCCCAAUAUCAUUUCCUGCGAUGCUAAAAAGAGGGUGCUCAAUCUGCAGUGUAUAUGCAGUGCCUUGAACUUGCAGGUUUUUAAAAAAAAUAAUUUAUCGUUUUUCGUCAUGGUUUCAUUGGUUUUGCUAGGAUUAUUGAAUUUUGAUGGUCCCUUUAAUAUCUUUCUUUGCUUUUUUGUGAGUUAAAUGGGUGAUCUUUUUUUCAAAAAUCAAUCUAGUAAAAUUUAGAAUGGAAAUAAGGAAUGUGUCAUAGAUACAACAAUGAGUCUUCAAUGCAUCGAGAAACUCCCGCACCCAGAGGCGUGCUACAGCUGGCCACAGAACAAAAAAAGUAUACUAGUUCAGUAAUAAUGGACGUCAUACUAAACUCAACAAUAUACACAAGAAAAUAGAAAAAUCAUACAAGACUAACAAAUGCCAGAGGCUCCUGAAUUGGGUCAGGCGAAGAAAUGUGGCGGGGUUUAUACAUGUUUUUUGAGAUCUUGUUUGAAUUCUUGUCGAUCAAACGGCUUCGAAAGCAGCAAAUAUAAGGCUCUAUAAAGCGGCAAGCAAUGCCAAUUAUCGCAAAAACAUUGAAACAAAAUGGUCAAACAGACGCAUAUGAUGACAUGCUAAAUUUAUAAGCCAAUCUGGCACAUAAUAAAAUACACCAUAUCUUCAAUUAACUCCUUAAAUGCUCUAAAUUGAUGAUGUUUACCAAUUUUUACUCAAAGUAAAAUGAAUUUAAAACCCAAGUACACCAUACGUUUUGAAUCCGCUCCGAAUAACAAUACAUAACAAUACAUGCCCUGUUUUAAUAAUAUACAAUCCAUUUUGAGAUUUACUAUUGAAAAAGUAUGAAACAAUAAUAACAGAAAAAAAACGGAUAAAAUGUAAACUAGAAUGAUGAUAUGAAUGAACCGCAAACACAUAAUUUUUAGCAACAUUUUAAAAGAAAUCUAUAGUAUUUGUAAAUUCUGUUAGUAACUUAGGUCUUCAGGAAACCAUUAUAGAAUGUUGACACAAAUUCACCUCUGAUCUGUACAUAAAGAAAAGUAGGACAGAAAAUGAUGUACAGUCUCAAUGUUACACCCAUAAAGAUUAGUUGAAUAUUAGAUUCCCUUUGCACAAGUCAUAAUGCAAGUAAGACGAUGAGCAUCUUCAUUGAAUUAUAUUCUAACUCAAUUAAAACGCUCAUCAUUUCUAACAUUAUAAGCAAACCAAGAACUUUGAUGACAUGUAUUAUGUUACUGGUUAGUUUAAUGUUUGUAUUUUUGUCUUGUAGAGACCUACGUUAUUGACAAUGAAGUAUAUGGUAAUGAUGAUGCUGGUACUGUUGAUAACUACAGGUAGAUAUAUACAAUUAAGAUGUCUUUCAUUUCAGUGCGUUCAAAAGUACCUUGAUAAAUAAUCAAUUGUCUGUACUAGUUCAUCGGAAAAUGAUGUCAUGUCAAUCAAUCUAGUAUCACAUUGUUUAUCUAAGUAUUUUACAAACCUAUUCAUUUUAUUUCAUGCCUCACGUUGGAUUGCAACUGUUCUCUAAAUACAUAAAGAUAUUACUCAGGUUUACGUGAGACAAAUAAUAUGUAAACCAUGCGCACAACCCGAGUUUGUAAAAAUAUAUCACCCAAAACCAAAUAUAUUAGUCAGUUGUGUUGUAUAUCUUCAUUGUAGCCCAGUAGACAACAUUUAUGUAUUGACAUACACUAUUAUAAGCUCACCUGGCCCAAAAGGCAAAGUGAGCUUUUCUCAUCACUUGGCGUCCGGCGUCUGUCGUCGUCCGUCGUCGUCGUCGUCCGUCGUCGUUAACUUUUACAAAAAUCUUCUCCUCUGUAACAACUGGGCCAAAUUUAACCAAACUUGGCCACAAUCAUCAUUGGGGUAUCUAGUUUACAAAAUGUGUCCGGUGACCCGCAAAACCAACCAAGAUGGCCGCCAUUGCUUAAAAUAGAACAUAGGGGUAAAAUGUAUAUUUUUGCUUAUAACUCUGAAACCAAAGCAUUUAGAGCAAAUCUGACAAGGGUAAAAUUGUUUAUUAAGAUUUAUUUGCCCUGAAAUUUUCAGAUAAAUCGGACAAUCGAUUGUUGGGUUGCUGCCCCUGAUUUGGUAAUUUUAAGGAAAAUUUUCCGUUUUCGGUUAUUAUCUUGAAUAUUAUUAUAGAUAGAGAUAAACUUUAACAGCAAUAAUGUGCUGCAAAGUAAGAUUUACAAAUAAGUCACAUGACCAAAAUGGUCAGUUGACCCCUUACGGAGUUAUUGCCUUUAUUGUAAUUUUUUAGCAACUUUUCGUAAAUUUUUGUAAUCUUUUACAAAAAUCUUCUCCUCUUAAACUACUGGGCCAAAUUUAACCAAACUUAGCGACAAUCAUUAUUAUGGUAUCUAUUUAAAGAAUGUGUGCGGUGGCCCAGCCAACCAAUCAAGAUGGCUGUCAUAGCUAAAAAUUUAAUAUAGGGGUAAAAUGUAGAUUUUGGCCUAUAACUUUGAAACCAAAGCAUUUAAAGCAAAUCUUACAAGGUUUCAACUUGUUUAUCAAGUAAAAAUCUAUCUGCCCUGAAAUUUUCAGAUGAAUUGGACAACUGGUUGUUAGGUUGCUACCCCUGAAUUGGUAAUUUUUAUGGAAAUUUUGUCGUUUUUGGAUAUUAUCUUGAAUACUAUUAUAGAUAGAGAUAAACAGUAAACAGCAAUACUGUUCAGCAAAGUAAUAUCUACAAAUAAGUCAACAUGUCUAAAUUGGUCAGUUGACCCCUUAAGGAGUUAUUGCACUUUAUAAUAAAUUGUUAAAAAUUUUCAUUAAUUUGGUAAAUUUUCGUAAGGUUUUUACAAAAUAUUUUCCUCUGUAACCAAAGGGCCAAGUUCAUAACAGAUAGAGAAAAUUGUAAGUAGCAAGAAUGAUCAGUAAAGUAUGAUCUACAAACACAUCACCAAAACACAUUUUUUGUCAUGAAUCCAUCUGUUUCCUUUGUUUAAUAUGCACAUAGACCAAGGUGAGCGGCACAGGCUCUUAAGAGCCUCUAGUUUAUAUGGUCAGAAUUAUAAAUCAACUGUUUACAAGAUUGAAAAGCUAUAUAUUUUUUUAUUGUUUCAAAAACACAUAAUUGUCAAAUAUUAGAUUACAAGGAUAAAGGCUGUGGGUUUUCUUUGUUUUCUAUGUGUAUCAUUAGAACAAAAAAAGGGUACAUAAUCACAAAGUAAGCUUUCAAACCAGGACUAACUAACCAUUCUACACGAUAACUGUUGUUCAAAGUCAAGAAUAUGACAGUUGUUUUCCAUUUGUUCCUUUGUUAUACUUUUCUAAAUUUGUAUUGUUUUUCCUUUUAGGAAUUGUAGACAGUAGUUGUAUUUGCUUUAAAAUUUAUAAACCUGUGUGUUCCACAGCUGGUCGUACCCACGGUAACAUAUGCGAACUGCACUGCGCGUAAGUGUAUUUUUACGAAAGAGACACUUUAUCAUUUUACAUGUAAAUGUACAAUUUAAGGUUUCAUUAAAUCAUUUUGUUUAUGUUGUUGCUGGCUAUACACAUCAAGAUACAAAGCGAUAUGAUAUGUUAUAACAUGUGAACAACAUCAUCAAUAAUAUGUGAAAUUAAAGUUUAAACCAUAACAGUUGCAUGAUCUUUAUAAUUGAUCAAUUAGAUAUGUCCUUAUUUAGUUUAUCAGUUUCUAUUUUACAUCAAGUCACGCCUUAAUAGCACACAAAUUGUGUAUACAUGUCUUUUAUUUGAAACGCAUUCAAUAAACACGCUAAAUGCAUUACAAUUCAGUUUAUAAAAUUCCAAAAACUUAUAAUAUUAUACUUCCUCGAUACUGAUAUUUAUAUUAUUAUUACGGAGAUGAAUAACAAUUGAUUUGGCACAGAAAAUCUCGAUAGAAGUCGCACGCACAUGAUCUCAUACUAUGAAUCAUAUUUCAGCAAAGAAAUUUUAGCUUGCCAUGGUAAAUGUCCCUGUUCUUAAUAACAAAAAGAGAAACGCAAGUAAGUGAAUGCAGAAGUCAGAUAAAGAUGUAAGACGAAAUUAUAUUUUUUUUAUAAUAGGAAUCAACAUUACGAAUAACAUAGGAUUAUAUAAGAAACAAACAAAUACAAAACAAAUUAAGUUUACAAAAAACUUGAGAGUGAAACUUGAAUGGAAAAAAAUAUCGGGAAAAAUGAACAACAUUAGAAUUAACGACUUAUCAAACAAAAGUGAUGCUAUAUUUCAAAGCAUAACAAAGAAAAGCAGACAACAAAGGAAUAAUCAAGUGGAGGAAAGGUGUCUUGACAGUAUAAAAUUGUCUCAAAAUUUCUCGACCCUUUGAUUUGAUAAGAGUCUUGAUUAGUCUCGAAAAAUUCUUGAUUGUCUUAAAUUGUCUCGAUUAGUCUUGACAUUUUAAACAAUUUCUGAAUAUGUCCAGACAUAUUCUUGACAUUCUUAUUAAUGUUUGCAUAUGUAUUGACACAUUAUUGACCGUCUUAAAGCUGACUGAGUAUAUCUCGACACAUUCUUGAUGGUCUUAAAGAUGUCUUGACACUAUCGCAACAGUAUACAUUUCCAUUGAAUUGUUGUCUCAGUGUUGACAUAAAUAUCAAUUAUAUGGUCAUUUUUUAUAAAUUUCCUGUUACAAAACUUUGAAUAUUUCGAAAAACUACGGAUUUUCUCUUCCCAGGAAUAGAUAACCCUAGCUGUAUUUGGCACAACUUGUUGGAAUUGUGAGCUGUUACAUACUCAUUUUCAUAUUUGGUAAAACUGAAGAACAUAGAAGAAUCAAAAAUUUGUAUAGUAAGAAACCUUUUAGUGGGCCUUGAGUAGAAGUACCCUGAAUGACCCCAUGUAGUAUUAUUUGGAUUUAGGUUUUAUUGAACGUUCAAUAAAAAUAUUUUCAAUGGAUUAUAUGUCGAAGUAGCUGACAAACAGCAUUUGGAUUUUUGCCGAUUGAAAAACUGCUAGACACAUUUGUAUUACUUACAUAUAUGUCCUGAGGUAGUUUUAAAAUCUGACUGUGUGCUUUAGAACCCAACCAUUCCUCUUGUGCGUGUGUGUGGCUAAAAAGGGGGACUUUUCUUUUUUUUCUUUUGGGACAAAGAAAUUGUUUAAAUAGAAGUAGCAUGGUCAGUCAACUGAUAAGUUGCAUAGCUGAUUACAGUAAUGUUUCAUACGACAGUCAUGCGUACCCUAGGGUAUGCAUAACUUAAUUUUCUGGGGAACAUGCUGUUCACAUUUAAUGCCUAAUAUAUAUUGUAAUAAUUGUAAUAAGUUUAUUGCAAAUCAGCAUAUAAUAUAAUGCUAUAGCAUCAACAACAUAUAUAAUAUAGUAAGCGACAUAAUAUAAAUGCAAACAGAAAGCAAAAUAAUAACAAACAAAAAACAAAACAAAGCCAACAUAUUAAACAAAUAGUAUUAUAUAUAAUGUACUUUAUCAGUUGUGACCGUAGUUUCCAGUUCUCAUUUAACAAACAACAAAGUUUUAAUACCAAAGUUCUUGAACAUGUUUGAAUAAGUGAUAAACAUUUUGACAUAUUAGGCCAAGAACAAUAAUAUUUAGGCAAAAAUCUUAAACGCAGAUGUCUAUAGGCUGGACAAAUCAUUACAAAAUGAUAUUCAUUUUCAAUAGCUUUCAUACUGCAACAUUGACAUAGUCUUUCAUUACGAGGCACAUUAUUAUAUCUACCAGUUUCAAUGUUGAGUUUAAGUGAACCAAAAGAUGACAUUACACAUUUCUUCUGUUAUAUCAAGGAUUUGCAUAGUAAGACUGUACAAAUCCUUGGACGAAUUAGGAUACCAUAAUACUUUGCUAUUUAUGAAAACUACAUUUUAAUACAAUUAUUGUUUAUUUACCAUAUAAACAUUGAAUAUCAUGUGGAAUGAAAUAUGUCUACAGCAUGAUUUGUGUUAAAAUCAUUUAGCAAUUAUUUAUAAAAUUUAGGAAUCAACAUUUGUAAUUAUUUACAAACCACAUUAAAUUGGUUUAGAUCAGCAUACCCAUAAUUGUAUUGUAAAUACUUUAAAUUACAUAGCUACAUUUGUAUUUAUAAAAAAUAUUUAUAUACCGUACCCAAAUUUGUUAUUAUUUUAUUUAUACAUGCCCAACUUUUUUUUAUAUAAUAAGUGUAACUUGAACAACAGUCUAUUAUAUGAAGGGAGAAAUAAACAUAAAGUUAUAUCAUGCAUUAUAAAACUCAAACAAAUGUAAGUCACCAUUCAAAAUGUUCAGAAUUUGUCAAGCCAUACUGAGAAAGAAUCGGAAUGUCGAAAAUCUGCGACAAAUUUCAAGACAGUAUUCAAAUGUCAAGAAUUUGUCAAGGAAUUAAAGACCAUAUUCAGAAUGUCGAGAAAUUGUCGAGUAAAUUUUAUACAAGUUUAAAAUAAAUCAGAAUUUUUCAAAAAAAGAUAAGAAAAAGUCAUACUUUUGGAAAAUUAUGUUGAUACAAAUUCAAACAAAUACGACUUUUGUAUAUAGUACUACGAACAAUACCAGUUAACCAUAGUUUUAUGCAUCAUGAUUGCGUUUCAUUUUCAACAUGAAACACAGUUUAAUCAAAAGAAGAAAACUUCGUGUCUGUUUUGUCCUUAUAUUUAUUAUUUACUUCUCUAUUUCAGCUUCAACAGAUAUUUGAAAUAUACCACAUAUAAUAAAUAAAUAAAAAAUGGCUAAAUCAUGACAUGUUUCAAUUUUUUAAUUGGUGAUCAAUACAAUUCCGAGAUAUAUGUAUGACUCUCAGAAGGAUAUGAUUUUCAACAGAUUAUAUACAUAACAUAUAUUUGGAUAACAAUAGUACGGAAAAACUCUUUAUAGUACUCAGUAUCUAAGGUUUUUAAAGUUAAUAACACCAAUUACAUAAGGUUUGGCGGGAAUAU
rnacentral:lncRNA from 1 species